CUGUGAAAUCUUGAGUGCUAUCUCUCAUUCAUAUUUUGGAUCACAAAGUUCCUACAACUAAUGAAUGAAAUUAUUUGUUCCUGUUUCUGAACUUAAUACACAGUCUUAUUCAAUUUAAGUGAUUGGUUGAUUCUCAUAAAAAGGCACUGACCUCAUUUUACAAUUUCUGUUCAAUGAUUUGCCUUUUUUGACACAUCUAUUUGCAAUCUAUUGGGAUAAUUUCCUGCACAAAGUAGGCUGUUAGUUUAAAUACUGCAGACAUUCUUUAAAUUAGUCACUGAUUUUUGAAUAUUUCUUUUCAAUAGAAGAAAGCACUGUAUCUCAAACAAUGGCACCAUUCAUUAGUUGCAGGACAAUCUUCUACCUAAAGUUACAACUCUACCAUCAAUGUCCGUUGCAUCCGUGUUUAUGAAUACAAUUCUGGAGACAACAAUGAUAGCACUUUGGAAGUAGUAUUCCAUGAUAGGCUGGGCACCAGAAUUCAAACUUCUCUUCCAAAGAAUGCAUGCAAGAAAAUUGGUUCACAAAUAUAGGCUCAUAGAUAUUCCAAGCAUGCAUCAUUGUAUUCAAAAGCACAUGAAUCAUGCAAAGUAAAUUAUUUGUUUUCA